rnacentral:snoRNA from 1 species
UGAGAUUACGAUGAGGAUUCUUAGCUCCCUCUUCUGAUUAAAAGUUGAGGAAAUCGGCUGGCCGAAUCGAACCAAUUUAUUAUUGCCAUCACUGAGUAA